CAGUCGCCGCGGUAAUACGAAGGGUGCAAGCGUUAAUCGGAAUUACUGGGCGUAAAGCGCGCGUAGGUGGUUUGGUAAGAUGGAUGUGAAAUACCCGGGCUCAACCUGGGAACUGCAUCCAUAACUGCCUGACUAGAGUACGGUAGAGGGUGGUGGAAUUUCCUGUGUAGCGGUGAAAUGCGUAGAUAUAGGAAGGAACACCAGUGGCGAAGGCGACCACCUGGACUGAUACUGACACUGAGGUGCGAAAGCGUGGGGAGCAAACAGGAUUAGAUACCCCCGUAGUCCCUGUCUCUUAUAA
rnacentral:rRNA from 1 species